CGCCGCUUGCAGCGCGGCCGCCGCGCUGGUGCUGCUGCUGUCGGUGCUGCCAAAGUUGCGCGAGUUCGGACGCUUCCAUGCGGCGU
rnacentral:tRNA from 1 species